GAUGAACGCUGGCGGCGUGCCUAAUACAUGCAAGUCGAGCGAACGGACGAGAAGCUUGCUUCUCUGAUGUUAGCGGCGGACGGGUGAGUAACACGUGGAUAACCUACCUAUAAGACUGGGAUAACUUCGGGAAACCGGAGCUAAUACCGGAUAAUAUUUUGAACCGCAUGGUUCAAAAGUGAAAGACGGUCUUGCUGUCACUUAUAGAUGGAUCCGCGCUGCAUUAGCUAGUUGGUAAGGUAACGGCUUACCAAGGCAACGAUGCAUAGCCGACCUGAGAGGGUGAUCGCCCACACGGGAACUUAGACACGGUCCAGACUCCUACGGGAGGCAGCAGUAGGGAAUCUUCCGCAAUGGGCGAAAGCCUGACGGAGCAACGCCGCGUGAGUGAUGAAGGUCUUCGGAUCGUAAAACUCUGUUAUUAGGGAAGAACAUAUGUGUAAGUAACUGUGCACAUCUUGACGGUACCUAAUCAGAAAGCCACGGCUAACUACGUG
rnacentral:rRNA from 1 species